UACGAAGGGUGCAAACGUUGCUCGGAAUUAUUGGGCGUAAAGCGCACGUAGGCGGCUUUUCAAGUCCCAUGUGAAAUCCCACGGCUUAACCGUGGAAGUGCAUGGGAAACUGGGAGCUUGAGUACUUAAGAGGAUCGCGGAAUUCCCAGUGUAGCGGUGAAAUGCGUAGAUAUUGGGAGGAACACCAGUGGCGAAGGCGGCUCACUGGACCGGUACUGACGGCUGAGGCGCGAAAGCGUGGGGAGCAAACAGGGA
rnacentral:rRNA from 1 species